rnacentral:rRNA from 1 species
GGUUAAGCGACUAAGCGUACACGGUGGAUGCCCUGGCAGUCAGAGGCGAUGAAGGACGUGCUAAUCUGCGAUAAGCGUCGGUAAGGUGAUAUGAACCGUUAUAACCGGCGAUUUCCGAAUGGGGAAACCCAGUGUGAUUCGUCACACUAUCAUUAACUGAAUCCAUAGGUUAAUGAGGCGAACCGGGGGAACUGAAACAUCUAAGUACCCCGAGGAAAAGAAAUCAACCGAGAUUCCCCCAGUAGCGGCGAGCGAACGGGGAGCAGCCCAGAGCCUGAAUCAGUGUGUGUGUUAGUGGAAGCGUCUGGAAAGGCGCGCGAUACAGGGUGACAGCCCCGUACACAAAAAUGCACAUACUGUGAGCUCGAUGAGUAGGGCGGGACACGUGGUAUCCUGUCUGAAUAUGGGGGGACCAUCCUCCAAGGCUAAAUACUCCUGACUGACCGAUAGUGAACCAGUACCGUGAGGGAAAGGCGAAAAGAACCCCGGCGAGGGGAGUGAAAAAGAACCUGAAACCGUGUACGUACAAGCAGUGGGAGCACGCUUAGGCGUGUGACUGCGUACCUUUUGUAUAAUGGGUCAGCGACUUAUAUUCUGUAGCAAGGUUAACCGAAUAGGGGAGCCGAAGGGAAACCGAGUCUUAACUGGGCGUUAAGUUGCAGGGUAUAGACCCGAAACCCGGUGAUCUAGCCAUGGGCAGGUUGAAGGUUGGGUAACACUAACUGGAGGACCGAACCGACUAAUGUUGAAAAAUUAGCGGAUGACUUGUGGCUGGGGGUGAAAGGCCAAUCAAACCGGGAGAUAGCUGGUUCUCCCCGAAAGCUAUUUAGGUAGCGCCUCGUGAAUUCAUCUCCGGGGGUAGAGCACUGUUUCGGCAAGGGGGUCAUCCCGACUUACCAACCCGAUGCAAACUGCGAAUACCGGAGAAUGUUAUCACGGGAGACACACGGCGGGUGCUAACGUCCGUCGUGAAGAGGGAAACAACCCAGACCGCCAGCUAAGGUCCCAAAGUCAUGGUUAAGUGGGAAACGAUGUGGGAAGGCCCAGACAGCCAGGAUGUUGGCUUAGAAGCAGCCAUCAUUUAAAGAAAGCGUAAUAGCUCACUGGUCGAGUCGGCCUGCGCGGAAGAUGUAACGGGGCUAAACCAUG